AUUUAUAUAGUUUAAAAUAAAACAUUAUAUUUUCAAUAUAAAAAUAAAUAUUAUUUUAUAAAUU
rnacentral:tRNA from 1 species